CGCGUGGAGCAUGUGGCUUAAUUUGACUCAACGCGGGAAAUCUUACCAGGUCCAGACAUAUGGAGGAUUGACAGACAGUUAACCAAAACGCAGCAGCUAGUUUAACAAAACUAACAGCUCUUUCAAGAUUAUGUGGUAGGUGGUGCAUGGCCGUUCUUAGUUCGUGAAGUGAUUCGUUCGCCCAAUCGCAUUUCCAAACAACAACAACUCAGAAUGCUGGGCAAUAGGACGUUUAAAGUGGCUCCUUACACCUUACAAAGGAAUGGCUGAUGAGAAACAACUCGAUCCGCUCAGCGUUCUAUUGGAAUGCAACGGACGUGAUUGCAAGCUUUUGUUUUGAGUUGCGGUUUUACUGAAAGACUCUACAAUCCGCAAACUUCAAUGAUCUGAAGUAGAAAACCUACAUGCUACAGUGAGAUAUUGUGGAUAAAC
rnacentral:rRNA from 1 species